rnacentral:rRNA from 1 species
GAUGAACGCUGGCGGCGUGCCUAAUACAUGCAAGUCGAGCGAACUGAUUAGAAGCUUGCUUCUAUGACGUUAGCGGCGGACGGGUGAGUAACACGUGGGCAACCUGCCUGUAAGACUGGGAUAACUUCGGGAAACCGAAGCUAAUACCGGAUAGGAUCCUCUCCUUCAUGGGAGAUGAUUGAAAGAUGGUUUCGGCUAUCACUUGCAGAUGGGCCCGCGGUGCAUUAGCUAGUUGGUGAGGUAACGGCUCACCAAGGCAACGAUGCAUAGCCGACCUGAGAGGGUGAUCGGCCACACUGGGACUGAGACACGGCCCAGACUCCUACGGGAGGCAGCAGUAGGGAAUCUUCCGCAAUGGACGAAAGUCUGACGGAGCAACGCCGCGUGAGUGAUGAAGGCUUUCGGGUCGUAAAACUCUGUUGUUAGGGAAGAACAAGUACGAGAGUAACUGCUCGUACCUUGACGGUACCUAACCAGAAAGCCACGGCUAACUACGUGCCAGCCGCCGCCGUAACAC